AUUGAACGCUGGCGGCAGGCUUAACACAUGCAAGCCGAGCGGAGAUGAGGUGCUUGCACCUUAUCUUAGCGGCGGACGGGUGAGUAAUGCUUAGGAAUCUGCCUAUUAGUGGGGGACACCAUUCCGAAAGGAAUGCUAAUACCGCAUACGUCCUACGGGAGAAAGCAGGGGAUCUUCGGACCUUGCGCUCAUAGAUGAGCCUAAGUCGGAUUCGCUAGUUGGUGGGGUAAAGGCCUACCAAGGAGACGAUCUGUAGCGGGUCUGAGAGGAUGAUCGGCCACACUGGGACUGAGACACGGCGCAGACGCCUACGGGAGGCAGCAGUGGUGAAUAUUGGACAAUGGGGAGAACCCUGAUCCAGCCAUGACGCGUGUGUGAAGAAGGCCUGAUGGUUGUACAGCACUUUAAGCGAGGAGGAGGCUACUGAGACUAAUACUCUUGGAUAGUGGACGUUACUCGCAGAAUAAGCACCGGCUAACUCUGUGCCAGCCGCCGCCGUAA
rnacentral:rRNA from 1 species